UGUGUUUCUUCAUGUCUGACUUCUGGUGGAAUCUCUUCCCGCAGUACUGGCAGGGGUAAGGCCGGGUGUCCGAGUGGAUGAGGAGGUGUGUGGACAGGGUGGACGAGCGCUUGAACACUUUUCCGCAAACCUUGCAGCCAAAGCUGCCAACCGCUCUGAAGCCAAAGCCCAUGUGAGGCAUGUCUGUGGCUGUGGGUGAUAAAGUCAGUGGGACAGACAGGGCGUUGUAGACAUGAGGCUGCAGACCACCUCUUGAUAGCUGCACUUCUGAAAGAGACUGAGAGCAAAAGUUGGAGGACAUUUUACUCAUCAAAUUCCAAAUAAUCCAUGUACAAAACACUAAAACAUGCAGUUGUUAUGUACGUUUACUUUUCCUGAGACUAACAAUAAAAAAACUCGAAGAAAAUAAUGUUUGAAAAUGUGUUUGAAAUACCAAAUAAAUCUGGAGUUCCCCCUAAAAUGCCAUUUUCUCUUGUCCCAAACCAAAAAUGACCAAAUUGAAUCUCAAAUAAAACUGUUAAAAUGAAACCUUAA